rnacentral:rRNA from 1 species
CAGCAGCCGCGGUAAAACGGAGGGUGCAAGCGUUAAUCGGAAUUACUGGGCGUAAAGCGCACGCAGGCGGUCUGACAAGUCAGAUGUGAAAUCCCCGGGCUUAACCUGGGAACUGCAUUUGAAACUGUCAGGCUGGAGUCUUGUAGAGGGGGGUAGAAUUCCAGGUGUAGCGGUGAAAUGCGUAGAGAUCUGGAGGAAUACCGGUGGCGAAGGCGGCCCCCUGGACAAAGACUGACGCUCAGGUGCGAAAGCGUGGGGAGCAAACAGGAUUAGAUACCCCGGUAGUCCCUGUCUCUUAUAA